GUGUCAGGUUGCUGCGUUCCUCUUGGUUGAAGGUCCUGUCAAUCAUCACCAUUUCUGAUGACGGGCUUGAACGCUGCAGAGGAUGGAGAGGCAACCUGUUAGCCCCCACCCGUGCAUGUCAUCACGUGAAACACAGAUUUAGCUUCAAGCUGAUAGAUUCCGGUCUGUACCCUGUGAGAACUCGUCCUGGCUGGGCGGAGCCCCCUGGAACACGUGGUAAGGGAGGAGUCUCUGCAGCGCAUCGCUGACCGAAGUGAACCGACGUCGAUCUGGGGUCUGAACUCCAGCGUGAUCCUUCCUCAACUGCUGUAAAAACCUACGAUGAGAGGACAGGGAAAAUGCACAAGCUCCUUCAGUGGCUGAGAGUCUUGUUCUUGUGUGACUGUACCAGGUAAAGGGGACAGAGAAGUGCAGUUCUGAGUUUGAGUCACUAGAAGGCGCUGCACAGGGCUGGCUGACACCUGGCCUUGACCGCUGAUCCCCGCCGCUGCUGGGCC